rnacentral:rRNA from 1 species
CAGUAGCCACGGGAAUACAGAGGCCUCAAGCGUUGUUCGGAUUCAUUGGGCGUAAAGGGUGCGUAGGCGGUUGGGUAAGUCGGAUGUGAAAUCCUGGGGCUCAACCUCAGAACUGCAUUCGAUACUGCUUGGCUAGAGGACUGGAGAGGAGAUCGGAAUUCACGGUGUAGCAGUGAAAUGCGUAGAUAUCGUGAGGAAGACCAGUGGCGAAGGCGGAUCUCUGGACAGUUCCUGACGCUGAUGCACGAAGGCCAGGGGAGCAAACAGGAUUAGAUACCCGCGUAGUCCCUGUCUCUUAUAA